rnacentral:rRNA from 1 species
CAGUCUCAGUUCAGAUUGUAGGCUGAAACUCGCCUAUAUGAAGUCGGAAUUGCUAGUAAUCGCGGAUCAGCAUGCCGCGGUGAAUACGUUCCCGGGCCUUGUACACACCGCCCGUCACACCAUGAGAGUCGAUAACACCCGAAGUCCGUAGCCUAACCGCAAGGGGGGCGCGGCCGAAGGUGGGUUCGAUAAUUGGGGUGAAGUCGUAACAAGGUACC